GGUUAAGCGACUAAGCGUACACGGUGGAUGCCCUGGCAGUCAGAGGCGAUGAAGGGCGUGCUAAUCUGCGAUAAGCGCCGGUAAGGUGAUAUGAACCGUUAUAACCGGCGAUUUCCGAAUGGGGAAACCCAGUGUGACUCGUCACACUAUCAUUAACUGAAUCCAUAGGUUAAUGAGGCGAACCGGGGGAACUGAAACAUCUAAGUACCCCGAGGAAAAGAAAUCAACCGAGAUUCCCCCA
rnacentral:rRNA from 1 species